rnacentral:tRNA from 1 species
GGGCGCAUAACUCAGUUGGUUAGAGUGCCUCCCCUACAAGGAGGAAGUCGUAGGUUCGAGUCCUACUGUGCCCA